rnacentral:rRNA from 1 species
UAAACUACGAUUAGAUACCCUAUUAUUUUAAAUGUAAAUGUUCAGGCUUGAGUAGUAAUAGUUAUGUUCUUGAAACUCAAAGAAUUUGGCGGUGUUUUAGUCUUUUCAGAGGAACCUGUCCCGUAAUCGAUAAUCCACGUAUAACCUUACUUAACUUGGUUUCAGCUUGUAUACCGCCGUCGUCAGCAUGUCCUUGAAAGGUUAAAAUUUUCUUAAAUUUUUAUUAAAAAUGAUGUCAGGUCAAGGUGCAGUUUAUGGUUAAGUGGUGAUGGGUUACAAUAAAUUUAUUUAAAAACGGAUUUUAACUUGCAAUAGUUAUUUGAAGGUGGAUUUGAUAGUAAUUUAGUUAAUUAAGAUAAUUUGAUUUUAGCUCUAAAACAUGCACACAUCGCCCGUCGCUCUUA